rnacentral:rRNA from 1 species
ACUCCUACGGGAGGCAGCAGUGGGGAAUAUUGCACAAUGGGGAAACCCUGAUGCAGCCAUGCCGCGUGUGUGAAGAAGGCCUCGGUUGUAAAGCACUUUCAGUAGGGAGGAAGGUAGUGUAGUUAACACCUGCAUUAUUUGACGUUACCUACAGAAGAAGCACCGGCUAACUCCGUGCCAGCAGCCGCGGUAAUACGGAGGGGUGCGAGCGUUAAUCGGAAUUACUGGGCGUAAAGCGCAUGCAGGCGGCCUGUUAAGUCAGAUGUGAAAGCCCGGGGGCUUAACCUCGGAAUUGCAUUUGAAACUGGCAGGCUAGAGUCUUGUAGAGGGGGUAGAAUUUCAGGUGUAGCGGUGAAAUGCGUAGAGAUCUGAAGGAAUACCAGUGGCGAAGGCGGCCCCCUGGACAAAGACUGACGCUCAGAUGCGAAAGCGUGGGGAGCAAACAGGAUUAGAUACCCUGGUAGACUGUCA